rnacentral:rRNA from 1 species
UCCGCCCGGGAACUACGAGCACAAACGCUUAAAACCCUAAGGACUUGGCGGUGCCCUAAACCCACCUAGAGGAGCCUGUUCUAUAAUCGAUAAUCCACGAUCCACCCAACCACCUCUUGCCAAUUCAGCCUACAUACCGCCGGCGCCAGCUCACCUCCCCUGAGAGAACAAUAGCGAACACAAUAGCCUAACCCGCUAACAAGACAGGUCAAGGUAUAGCCUAUGAGAUGGAAGAAAUGGGCUACAUUUUCUAAUAUAGAAUAACCACGGAAGAAAGUAUGAAAUCACUUUCAAAAGGCGGAUUUAGUAGUAA